rnacentral:rRNA from 1 species
AUGGGGACGGAGGAACAGCUGCAGCCACGCAUGGGCGCGAGCAACGGCAGAGGCCACAUCCACGCAUUUGGGCGCGAGCAGGAGCACCGGCCACGCACGGGCACGCGAGCUGCCGUCUGCUCCAGAGCACGGACGCACCGCAACAGGGGCAGGGGCGCGAGCAGCGGCAGCGUCCACGCGGCCACUGGAGCAUCCUCGCACCCUCCUACCUCGCCGCCCAGAUCCCACUUUACUUCACAUGGGCGGUGGCAACGACGAGCACAAGAAGGCAAGUCGUCCGGCGACCACAAGGAGAAGAAGGACAAGAAGCACGGCGAGGGCCACAAGGACGGCAAUAGCCACAACAACAACAGCAACAGCGACAACAACUGA